rnacentral:tRNA from 1 species
UUACACUGUUCUGUAAACCGACAAUGAAGAACUUUUCUUCUCAAGACA